CUGUUUUAAGCAGGGGUCGCCCGCGGAAAGGCACUUUUAGUCGACCCGUCAGCAGCGGCGACAACGACGGCGACGACGUCGGCAAUGGCAGCCUUGUCGUGUCCCUUCCUGUCCAUGGUCAUUUUGAAGUCCUUCUCUCGUCGAAAACACGAGUCGCUCGCUAGUCUUUGGUGCCAGGAAAGCGAUCGAGUAAUAAGUGGCGGACGUCUGCACAUGAAGGGGGUGAGUCAGAGGAGGAGUGGAGUGGAGAGGACGAGCAGAGAGAAGACCGCACAAGGACCCCCGAGCAGGCUCGAACCCGUGGCAAUUCAGGACCCGACCGACCCCCAAUCUGAGUUCGCCUGCGUUCACCAACUUCGCUUCUUGCUUUGACACCCACCCAUUUCUGGCUGGAUUCCUCGGUUUCUUAAGGCGAGGAGACGCAAGGUGGUACAUAACCAAAUCCCGAAGAAAAACUCCCAAGUCGCGGGGCAGGAGUGAAGGGCUCCUUUCUUUCCUUCCUUCCUUCUUUCCUUCUUUCCUUCUUCUUUCCUCCCUUCAUUCGUUCAUUCGCUCGUCUUGUUCUUCCACUUUGACUCUAUCCAACGUUCGUUGUUGGGUCGUUCGCUCGUUGUUUCUGUCCCUUUCAUUCCACUCACUCCUUGGUUGGCGGAGGCCAUUCUUCCAAAUGCAGAGGGAAUUUAGACCCAGAAAGAAGAAGUAUCGAGAAAUCGCCGAGCUACCGAAGACAGAGAAAGGCAGGGACAACCGACACUGAGCCUCGGAAGAGAGGCAAUCCCAAAGGCGAGAGUUCUGGCCUCGGGUCAGGGUUGCCGGCGGUUACAAUUCGACCAUUGUCAGAGCUGAGCCUGAGUAGUGACACUGACUCAAGGAUUUCCCCGCGACUCAGGAAUAGGAAAUUGGCCAGUUCCAAUUUCAAGACAACGGGGCACUUGCUGAAUUGGAGCCUUUUAAGAUUAGAAUGGAUUUUGAUUUUGAGGAGGAGGAGGACGAGGACGAGACGCAGAAGAAGCUAAAGUCUCCUUUCAACUUUAGACUUUUUGUGCUCUCAAAAUGUUCCAACGAUCUCCCAGGCAUAGAUUGGAAGUUAGGCUCCUACCAACCAACAAUGAACAUCUUGCCUUUUGUCGUAUCCCAACAACUCGAUUUUGGAGUCGACUAAGACGCGAUCUUCAGCAUCGUCAUCAUUUCGGUCGCGGUUCCGAUUACUUCGAUUUCGAUUUCGGUUGCGGUUUCGAUUCCGGUUUCGGUUUCUUCGGCCUCCACCAUCAUUAUCGUCAUCAUCAUCUCUAUCGUUGUCAUCAUCUCUGUCCCUGUUUCUAGUGGCCACUUCAAAGUCGCGGUCAUCUGCGUCAUCAAAAUCGUAAUCAUCAUAGUCAAACCGAGGACGGCUGGACCGAUGGUUCCAUGGAUAGGCUUGACCACCACGCCUCCUGGUGGGACAGAUAUCAUUGCCACCAUCUUCAAGACAGACGCAAUCAUUGCUUCUGGAACCAGACACAAAUC